UAUCUACUCACGUUAAUUUUUUUUACCCUCACAAUAAAAAGUUUCCUAACCUUUCCAAAGUUUCCUAACUAGACACGUUAUAAACGGGCAGGAACUGAUAGCACGUUACCAAUCAAUAAAAUUUAGUUUCAUGACAAUCAAUUCCAAAUCCUAAUUUUCCUAAUAUGUCGAUCUUUCUCAAAUCCUAAUAAGCCCUCUUCCUCUUUCCUUUUUCACCGCUCCACCUAGAAAAAAAGACCCAUCAAUCACGCAGCCCCUCCCUGCCUCUCCCCAACUCCCCAAGCGACAUCCUCUCUCCCCUCCCUGCCGUCCUCCAAGACGCCCUCGUCGGCGCACUCUUCAUCGGAGCGCCGUCCGCUGGAAGCCGGAGUCGGGAAGGAGAGCAGCCACCAGUGGGGGAGACCACAAGGGGAGGUGUUGGUUCUUUCUUCGAUUGAUGCAUCCGCUCGUGGGGGCAUUGCUGGUGGGGGGGCGAGGAGCGAUGUUGGUGGCCGUGCUGGGGCCCGGCGGCGUGGGCGGGCGCGCUGGAACUGGUUGUGUCGAUGGCGUCGUUACCGCCGGAGACCACAUUCGUGUGGGCGCUGGCCAGCGCCGGGUGCGUGGCCAGGUAGGUGCGCGUGCCUCUCGACGGUCUGCUUGAGCCGGCCGGGUCGGCGGCUGUACGGCUUCGAUGUGCUGCGCACUGCAAAGGGCUUCCGUCACUCGAUGAGGUCAUCCAGCGGUCGGACAAGCUCGUUGGCCACAUUGGGUAGCUGCCGCCCUCUGCUGAGAUUGUUCACACCAUGGAUGAGAUCUCCAACACUGUUUGCUCGGUCAUUGAUUCGGCGGAGCUGUGCAGGGACACGCACUCAGAUAGGGAGUUUAUGGAGGAAGCAGAUAAGGCAUCAAUGAUGAAUUAUGAGCAUCUUCAAGUAAGGUCUAUAACAUAAAUGGCAUCUGUGAAAAGGGAGAGAGCAGAGUGAAAUGACCAAACCAGAACGGUAACAUUCAUUUUCUGUGAUUUUCUGCAGUACCUGAACACAUAUACUACUUUAUAAAACGCGGUACUAAACGCUGAGAGUGAAGGUGCCCUGCCUACCAGAGGAAUAUGGGAAGGCAGCAAAU